GUAGGUGGCAAGCGUUGUCCGGAAUUAUUGGGCGUAAAGCGCGCGCAGGCGGUUCUUUAAGUCUGAUGUGAAAGCCCACGGCUCAACCGUGGAGGGUCAUUGGAAACUGGAGAGCUUGAGUACAGAAGAGGAAAGCGGAAUUCCACGUGUAGCGGUGAAAUGCGUAGAGAUGUGGAGGAACACCAGUGGCGAAGGCGGCUUUCUGGUCUGUAACUGACGCUGAGGCGCGAAAGCGUGGUGAGCAAACAGGAUUAGAUACCCUGGUAGUCCACGCCGUAAACGAUGAGUGCUAAGUGUUUAGGGGGGUUUUCCGCCCCCUUAGUGCUGCAGCUAACGCAUUAAGCACUCCGCCUGGGAGUAACGGCCGCAAGGCUG
rnacentral:rRNA from 1 species